rnacentral:rRNA from 1 species
GACGAACGUUGGCGGCGUGCUUAAUACAUGCAAGUCAACUGAAGCAGUGGUAGCAAUAUCGCUGUGGAGGUGGCGCACGGGUGAGUAACACGUAGGUAAUCUGCCUUCAGGUCUGGCAUAACUCCGGGAAACCGGGGCUAAUAGCAGAUGAUGCAGCGGCUCGACAUCGAGACAGUUGUUAAAGCUAUGGCGCCUGAAGAUGAGCCUGCGUCUGAUUAGCUAGUUGGCGGGGUAACGGCCCACCAAGGCAACGAUCAGUAGCUGGUCUGAGAGGAUGAUCAGGCACACUGGAACUGAGACACGGUCCAGACUCCUACGGGGAGCAGCAGUAAGGAAUAUUGCGCAAUGGGAGAAAUCCUGAAGCAGCAACGCCGCGUGAGGGACGGAGGGCUUUUGCUUGUAAACCUCUGUAGUGAGAGAAAAAAAUCCCAAUCUUUGGGACAUGAUGGUAUCUCAAAAGUAAGCCCCGGCUAACUACGUG